UUUGUAUAAGCUUUGCAAAGUCAGGGUUUGUUUUGGAUGACUUUGGAUUUGUAAAAUAAAAGGGGAAAUACUUUUUGGAGAAUUUUGUAGGUUUGGAAAUAGUUCCAUAAGUGAAAUUUUAGAAUUUUUUAGAUUUAUAUGUAUUCAAUAUACCUUGUGAGUUUGAGCUUGAUCAAAAGGUUGGAUCGAGGUUUAUUGAGUUUUAAGUAGGUUAG
rnacentral:lncRNA from 1 species